AACCCUCUCAUUAAACAUUUUAUUUUUGAUUUGUUUAGUGGAUGUUGAGUGUUGCUGUACCUAUAGCUCACUUUAAAUAUAUAAGUCACUUUUCAAAUAAGUUGGAUUGACUUGGUGUAAUAAUUUUAUCAUCACAUCAAGGAAAGUAGUAAAACACUUGCCAGCUUGUUUGUUAAUAAGAGACUCCUAAAACCCAAUAUCUUAUUU
rnacentral:misc_RNA from 1 species